rnacentral:rRNA from 1 species
AUUGAACGCUGGCGGCAGGCUUAACACAUGCAUGUCGAGCGAGCGGCGGACGGGGGAGUAAUGUCUGGGAAACUGCCUGAUGGAGGGGGAUAACUACUGGAAACGGUCGAUAUUAUCGCAUACCAUCAGAUGUGCCCAGAUGGGAUUAGCUAGUAGGUGGGGGAAUGGUGCACCUAGGCGACGAUCUCUAGCUGGUCUGAGAGGCUGGCAAGCCACACUGGAACUGAGACACGUACAAGACUCCGACGGUAGGCAGCAGUGGGGAAGAUUGGACAAUGGGCGCAGGCCUGAUGCAGCCAGGCCGCGUGUGUGACGAAGGCCUUCGGGUUGUAAGGCACUUUCAGCGGGUAGGCGUUACUCGCAGAAGAAGCACCGGCUAACUCCGUGCCAGCAGCCGCGGUAAUUC